rnacentral:ncRNA from 1 species
CAGGGAAAAAACUUUCUCACCGAAACCAUUCCUUGUUUGGUAACAGCUUUCUAUAAAUCUAAAGAAUUA